GCAAGUCGAACGGUAACAGGAAUUAGCUUGCUAAUUUGCUGACGAGUGGCGCACGGGUGCGUAACGCGUAUACAAUCUACCUUUUGCUGAGGGAUAGCCCAGAGAAAUUUGGAUUAAUACCUCAUGGUAUUAUUGACAGGCAUCUGUUAAUAAUUAAAGGUUACGGCAAAAGAUGAGUAUGCGUCCCAUUAGCUAGUUGGCGAGGUAACGGCUCACCAAGGCAACGAUGGGUAGGGGUCCUGAGAGGGAGAUCCCCCACACUGGUACUGAGACACGGACCAGACUCCUACGGGAGGCAGCAGUGAGGAAUAUUGGACAAUGGGCGAGAGCCUGAUCCAGCCAUGCCGCGUGCAGGAAGACUGCCCUAUGGGUUGUAAACUGCUUUUAUACAGGAAGAAUAAGCCUUACGUGUAAGGUGAUGACGGUACUGUAAGAAUAAGGACCGGCUAACUCCGUGCCAGCAGCCGCGGUAAUACGGAGGGUCCGAGCGUUAUCCGGAAUUAUUGGGUUUAAAGGGUCCGUAGGCGGAUGAUUAAGUCAGGGGUGAAAGUUUGCAGCUCAACUGUAAAAUUGCCUUUGAUACUGGUUAUCUUGAGUUGUAUUGAAGUAGGCGGAAUAUGUAGUGUAGCGGUGAAAUGCAUAGAUAUUACAUAGAACACCAAUUGCGAAGGCAGCUUACUAAGUACUAACUGACGCUGAUGGACGAAAGCGUGGGUAGCGAACAGGAUUAGAUACCCUGGUAGUCCACGCCGUAAACGAUGGAUACUAGCUGUUCGGGGCCUUGAGCUCUGAGCGGCUAAGCGAAAGUGAUAAGUAUCCCACCUGGGGAGUACGUUCGCA
rnacentral:rRNA from 1 species